GGGCGCAUAGAGCAGUGGUAGCGCGUCCGCUUUGCAAGCGGAAGGCCCCGGGUUCAAUCCCCCGUGUGUCCA
rnacentral:tRNA from 1 species